UUUCACACAAAAAUAGAAAAAAAAAACAAUAAAUUUUGGGGGUUCCCCAUACUUAGAACUGAAACUCAAAAAAUUUUUUUUCAUCAAACACAUACGUAUCUAAUAUAAUUUUUUUCUAAACUGAAUAGUUUGCGCGAGAGACACUUCCAAAGUGGUAAAAUGUGUGUCCCCCUCCCUGUAACUUCUAAAAUAAGAGAAUGAUAAAACUAAAAAAAAUAUAUGAUGUACAUUACCAUGCAAACUUCCACCGAAAAUUGGUUUGAACGAGAUCUAGUAAGUAGUUUUUUUUAAUACGUCAUAAA